rnacentral:rRNA from 1 species
UACGGGGGGAGCAAGCGUUGUUCGGAUUUACUGGGCGUAAAGGGUGCGUAGGUGGCGGGGUAAGUCUGGUGUGAAAGCUCCGAGCUCAACUCGGAAAAGCAUUGGAAACUAUCCCGCUGGAGGGUCGGAGGGGAGACUGGAAUUUACGGUGUAGCAGUGAAAUGCGUAGAUAUCGUAAGGAAGACCAGUGGCGAAGGCGAAUCUCUGGACAGUUACUGACACUGAGGCACGAAGGCCAGGGGAGCAAACGGG